rnacentral:snRNA from 1 species
UGGUAUCUGUGCUUGCUUCAGUAGUUAAAUUGGAAAGGUACAGAGAUUAGCAUGGCCUCUGUUCAAGGGUGACACAUAAAUUCAUGAAGUGUUCCAUAUUAAA